UACGGGGGGGGCAAGCGUUGUUCGGAAUUACUGGGCGUAAAGGGCUCGUAGGUGGCCAACUAAGUCAGACGUGAAAUCCCUCAGCUUAACUGGGGAACUGCGUCUGAUACUGGAUGGCUUGAGUUUGGGAGAGGGAUGCGGAAUUCCAGGUGUAGCGGUGAAAUGCGUAGAUAUCAGGAGGAACACCGGUGGUGUAGACGGCUCUCUGGACCGUAACUGACGCUGAGACACGAAAGCGUGGGUAGCAAACAGG
rnacentral:rRNA from 1 species